GAGUUUGAUCAUGGCUCAGAUUGAACGCUGGCGGCAUGCCUUACACAUGCAAGUCGAACGGCAGCAUGAUCUAGCUUGCUAGAUUGAUGGCGAGUGGCGAACGGGUGAGUAAUACAUCGGAACGUGCCCUGUAGUGGGGGAUAACUAGUCGAAAGAUUAGCUAAUACCGCAUACGACCUGAGGGUGAAAGUGGGGGACCGCAAGGCCUCAUGCUAUAGGAGCGGCCGAUGUCUGAUUAGCUAGUUGGUGGGGUAAAGGCCCACCAAGGCGACGAUCAGUAGCUGGUCUGAGAGGACGAUCAGCCACACUGGGACUGAGACACGGCCCAGACUCCUACGGGAGGCAGCAGUGGGGAAUUUUGGACAAUGGGGGCAACCCUGAUCCAGCAAUGCCGCGUGUGUGAAGAAGGCCUUCGGGUUGUAAAGCACUUUUGUCCGGAAAGAAAUCGCACUUACUAAUAUUAGGUGUGGAUGACGGUACCGGAAGAAUAAGGACCGGCUAACUACGUGCCAGCAGCCGCGGUAAUACGUAGGGUCCAAGCGUUAAUCGGAAUUACUGGGCGUAAAGCGUGCGCAGGCGGUUGUGCAAGACCGAUGUGAAAUCCCCGGGCUUAACCUGGGAAUUGCAUUGGUGACUGCACGGCUAGAGUGUGUCAGAGGGGGGUAGAAUUCCACGUGUAGCAGUGAAAUGCGUAGAGAUGUAGAGGAAUACCGAUGGCGAAGGCAGCCCCCUGGGAUAACACUGACGCUCAUGCACGAAAGCGUGGGGAGCAAACAGGAUUAGAUACCCUGGUAGUCCACGCCCUAAACGAUGUCAACUAGUUGUUGGGGAUUCAUUUCCUUAGUAACGUAGCUAACGCGUGAAGUUGACCGCCUGGGGAGUACGGUCGCAAGAUUAAAACUCAAAGGAAUUGACGGGGACCCGCACAAGCGGUGGAUGAUGUGGAUUAAUUCGAUGCAACGCGAAAAACCUUACCUACCCUUGACAUGCCACUAACGAAGCAGAGAUGCAUUAGGUGCUCGAAAGAGAAAGUGGACACAGGUGCUGCAUGGCUGUCGUCAGCUCGUGUCGUGAGAUGUUGGGUUAAGUCCCGCAACGAGCGCAACCCUUGUCUCUAGUUGCUACGAAAGGGCACUCUAGAGAGACUGCCGGUGACAAACCGGAGGAAGGUGGGGAUGACGUCAAGUCCUCAUGGCCCUUAUGGGUAGGGCUUCACACGUCAUACAAUGGUGCAUACAGAGGGUUGCCAAGCCGCGAGGUGGAGCUAAUCCCAGAAAAUGCAUCGUAGUCCGGAUCGUAGUCUGCAACUCGACUACGUGAAGCUGGAAUCGCUAGUAAUCGCGGAUCAGCAUGCCGCGGUGAAUACGU
rnacentral:rRNA from 1 species